rnacentral:rRNA from 1 species
CGUGGGUAACCUGCCCAAGAGAUCGGGAUAACACCUGGAAACAGAUGCUAAUACCGGAUAACAACAGAUGAUGCCUAUCAACUGUUUAAAAGAUGGUUCUGCUAUCACUCUUGGAUGGACCUGCGGUGCAUUAGCUAGUUGGUAGGGUAACGGCCUACCAAGGCGAUGAUGCAUAGCCGAGUUGAGAGACUGAUAGGCCACAUUGGGACUGAGACACGGCCCAAACUCCUACGGGAGGCAGCAGGU